CUCUGUGCAUUCAAAGACCAGCAGGAAAGCAGUCUGCAGCUUGGGACUGGAAUUUCUUCAGGCUGGCCUUAGGCUGGAGUUAGGGCCCUAGUGACGCCAUCAGAGUGCCUUGAGGACAGCGUAUCUCUGAAAGAGGCUCUUUGAAGAAUGUGCACAUCAAAUGUCAGCAUCCUGGGAGCAUUUCAAGAAUGGGAACACCGAACACCGUGUUGACAGCAGCAGUGAUGUUGUGAUAUCCUACCGGAGGGGAGAUGGCCAGCUAAUGAGAAUGGGAGACGCUGACUGAUAACUGGAGAAGAUUGAGAUGCCUCCCAGAACACUCCUACGCCUGCCAGAAGCAUGUGGACAGCGAGAUAGAGAUAUAGAAAGAUUUCAGGCCUCACAUCAAAGUCUUGUAGCAGAUUGCACUGGAUUGGAGGAGAUGCUGAACCAUUCCUCGUUCUGAAGUGUAGAACAUCAGAGGACAAGGAUCACAGCACAAGAAAUCACAAUCACUCAUACUAUUCAUUAAAUCGAGGCCACUGCUGAUUCUGGUAGAGAGGACAUGAAAUUCCAUACCCCAUAUGCGUAUGGACGGAACUCUGGGAAAUCCUCCUGAAGCCCGGUGGUUUUUCUUUAACUUCUGUGGAAAUAUUGAUCAGGAGAGAAGAGAAAACAAGGGAUGGUUGGAUUCUGCAGUCUAGAGAAAUUUUUGAAAAGAAAAAGAAAAUAGGAAACAGCCAUUUUAAGAGAAUAGUCAGGUUUUCUUGUCAGAUGACAGAAAGGAGAGAGGGGCAGGUGAACAGUUCACUCUGAGGAUGUAUAUGCCAUUCCAGCAUGCAGAUAUCAGGGAAGGACACUUGCACAAACUCAGUCCCCUCCAUAACAAUGUGAACUUGUGCGAUGUAUUUGACCUGUCUGUGUCUUAGAUUGUUUAAUGAAACUUCAAGGAAAUAGGGAUAAUGAUCCAAUAUACAUCACAGAUUUGUGACAGUUCAAUGACUUCUCAUGAAGAGUCUUCAAUACUUGGAAGGAUAUUAGGCCACUGGGUGAAGACAUCAGCUAUGCAUGUUAGCUGGAAUCUUACAACCUUUCUUUAAGAUUUCCUACUGCAGCCGGGCAGUGGUGGCGCACGCCUUUAAUCCCAGCACUUGGGAGGCAGAGGCAGAGGCAGGCAGAUUUCUGAGUUUGAGGUCAGCCUGGUCUACAGAGUGAGUUCCAGGACAGCCAAGGCUAUACAGGGAAACCCUGUCUUGAAAAAAAAAUUCCUACUGCUUACAUAUUGCAUAGAGGCAUUUCCUCACCAUCAGAAGAUGGUCUCAAUGAUCAAAAAAAUAUAAACAUGUACAAAUCAGAUAUUUGUAUAGAACAGGUCUGAAAGCCACAAUGUCUUAGCUAGGAUUUCUAUUGCUGUGACUAAACACCAUAACCAAAAUGCAAAAGGGGGAGGGAGAAAAGGGUUUAAUCAGCUUAUACUUCUACAUUGUUGUUUAUCACCAAAGGAAGUCAACACAGGAACUCAAGCAGGUCAGGAGCCUGGAAGCAGGAGCUGAUUAGAGGCCAUAGAAGGUACUGCUUGCUGGCUUGCUUCCUGUGACCUGCUUUCUUAUAGAACCCAGGGCCACCAGACCAGAUAUGGCACCAUGGCCUGGACCCUCUCCCAUGGAUCACUUAAUUUAGAAAAUGCCUUACAGCUGGACCUCACAGAGGCAUUUCCUCAACUGAGGCCCCUUCCUCUCUGAUGACUCCACUUUGUGUCAAGUUGACACACAAAUCCCAUGCAUUUACUUACGACAUAAACUUGGAUAGACCUGCUGUGUGCAUGAGACUUUGUUUCCCAUGAAUCACUGGGCUGUCUUCCUUGCAAAGCUUGAAAGACAACUUUUUUUUUUUAAAUAGUGUAGCCAUAUUCACAAGCCAUAUCCACCUACAUUGUGGCUUCUCUUACAGGUAUAUUUUUAACGUGAAGUUGAAUGCCUUUCUCCUGAAGACAGGAAGGUUUACAAGCCUACUAACAAAGGAAACACCCCUGACUUUGUGAGGAAUAGAAAGUUGUUUGUUUACUUUCUGGUCCCCCUACUUUCUAACUUUGUGAUGUUGGCAAUUUACAACAUUUCUACGUGUGUAUUUCCUCUCCAAUAUGGGCUAAUAAUUCGUUCUUUGUAGAAUUUGUUUUGAAGGUUAAAUAUAAAUUACUUUCUGGUUCACAACGUUUGUAUAUAGUACCCAGUGUCUGAUAGUUAAUAUUAUGAAUAUGAUUUUAACAGGAAGCUAUAGAAAAAUAACGUAGUACAGAUUCGUAGAAUCCAUCAAAACAGGUUGUAAAAAUGACUUAAAGAAACAUCCACCAUAGCAAUGACUAACAUUUUGAAAAGCUUUAUUUUUCCAUGGAGAACCAUAUCCCAGCACAGUGUUGUGUUUCUGUGUUCCUCUUGUCAGGAAGGGUAAUAUACAUGAUGCAUUGGCUAGUGCUAAUGAAAGUUUUUAUUCUUAAGGCACAAAAUAUUUCCCAACACAGAGCACAAGGUCUUUGUGCUCAUGUCAGCCCUGGAGUGGAACUUUUGAGAAAGAAGUAGGAAAAGCACUCGUUCUCGGAGAUAUCAAACUGUGGAAAUAAAAUGAAAAUAAAAUAUCAAGUGGCAGAUUGCUUUUAAAGUGUUAACUGAAAAUUAUGCCUACAUAUUAUGAAACAUUCAACCAACAUUCCUUUAAAUAUCCUGAAAUAGUUUAAUAACAAAAACAAUUUCAUUUGUUUGUUUAUUUGUUUUGAGACAGACUUUCUCUGGUAGCCCUGGCUAUCCUGGAACUUGCUCUGUAGACCAGAUUGUCUUUGAACUCAGAGAUCAGUCCGCCUCUGCCUCCUGAGUAGUGGGAUUAAAGGCUUCUGCCACCAUUUUCUGGCUAGUGUUUAAUUUUUUUAAUGGAAUUAUUUCUUCAGUUUACUCAACAUUCUCUAGAGUUUUCUCUAUGGGGCUUAGCAUCUUUCUUAUGGGUAGAAGUAACAUUGUUACUAUUUGCACUGCAAUAACACUUUAGUAUAUAGGAAAAUAUUAUUUCUUUAACUGAUUAUUAGAAGACAAAUAAGUAAAGAUGACUAUAUCUUGUAAUUGUUUUGUGCUUAAAAUAAAAUCAAACAAAUCAGAAAGGCAUUUCUUCUUCUAACCCUGUAAGAAGAGAGUGAAUGCACCCUUCUCACUCAUUACAGUAAGCUGAAUGAUCAGGAAGGCAUGCCUAGCAAGUAACACUGUUAUUAUUGAUAAAAAGCUGUUCCAACCUGGCAGUACAUGAGGACAUUCAGGGACUUAAUUAAGGCAAAAAAAAAAAAAAGUCAACGUAAUCUCUUUGUUAUGACUUUGGAGACUUGGGUUGCUUGUUCCCAGCUGUUAUGGGGUCUGUUUUUCCUUUUACACGCUUGAGAAUAUAAGGGUCUUUCCACAGAACUGUUUAAAAUAUAUUAUUCACAGAACCGCAUAUUUAGCAGAUUAUUUAGCAAUAACAUAAACCAAAAAUCAGACUGAAGAGAUAACUCAACUGGUAAUGUGCUUACCUUCUGAAUAUGUGCACUUUGAUUCCCCAAAACUCAAGGUAAAAAUCAAAAGAAAAGCUAAGCCUGGUGACAGGUUUCUAUUUCCAGUGCUGGGGAGACAGAGACAAGCAGCUUUCAGAGAGUAAACAAGAUGGCUGAGUAGAUAAAGAUACAUGCUAUACACAUAUAGUUAUAUGCAUGCUAUAUUGACCUAAAUUCCAUUCUACUCACACACACACACACACACACACACAC